GGAAUGGAUGGGCAGAUCCCUAUCAGUAGAAGUCCGUUGUGUAACCCUGCUAAGGCCAUGGUGUGAAGCUAUUUUCAGGGUACUACGGUUGCAACAAAUGUAACCAGAAGGGGGCCUGGGAUGGAAGAAUGCUCUACCCAGAGAUGGACAGUGUCACCUUGAAGACCAACCAGUCCUUCAGGGAGUGUUGGCAGCCCGAAUACCACCAUGAGAGCAUAUCUCCCUUUUGCAGCCUGCCAAUUGAUAUGGUCCAUUCUUUCCCAGCUGACUUAUGCACCAAUGCUGCCUAGGUGUCAUGGAGAAGCUGCUACUCCUGUGGACAAGAGGAAAGACUGAGGUCAGACAAACACCUGAAUUCGAUUUGCAAGAUGACACAUCUGAAGAUGAAAGAGCGGCACAUCCGCCUAUGAAGAGGUCAAGGCCUUCGGGCCUACCCAGGGCUCCCCAAUUUACUGAAAGUCCCCGGCAGCCCCUGGACAUCCAGGAACCUCAAAGUAAUAAUCGCAUUACAUCAAUGUUUUGAAAUAAAUUCUCAUUUGUGGGAAGUUAUUUUAAAUUCAGGUUGGUCAUGUAAUAUUUUUUUUGUCUUUACAGCUGUAGAAUCAGAACCCAUUGCUGGUGUAAGCACAACGCUACAACGAGAACGUAAAUGUGCAGCAGGACUAUUUAAUUAGUCUGAUAUGGGGGCAAGGUCAUGAAAAAGAAUGCCAAGUGAGGGGACGGAAAAAAAAUCUGAAAAUUUGUAAUAAUAACUACAUAUACAGUAAUAGUAGACCUACAACAACAUAUUGUAUUUUGUAAAUGCAUCACAACAACAGAAGUGCAUGAGGGCAUAGCCAAUUUCAAAUAACAAGGAUAUUGUCUGGCCUCGUGCCGAUAGCCCCACUCUCACUGUUUCAAUAAGAGAUUGAUUGUUUUAACAUACAUUUUUACACCACAUUUUAAUUAUUUCACACAGAGGUCAGUAAUAUGUUCGAUGCAUUUGAGCGGAGGAUGGUGUUUAAGCUUGAAAAGCUGCACGAGGGCUUUGAGAGGAGGAUGCUGUUGAAGCUGGAAGUGAUGCAAGAGGGCUUCAACAGCAUCCUCACCAAGGUGGUGGACCUCCUGGAGGGCCAGGGCUACAGGCCAGUGGCCAAAAAGGUAGAAGACCUUUUGGAGCGGCCACUGGAGACCCUGGAGGAGAUGGUCGAGCUAUGCCACAGACUCCAGGCAGAUAACCCAUACAAAAAAAAGAUUGCGAGAACGAUUCAUUCCACAUUUUCUUACCUGACUUCUUUCCUGAUAUGGCAUUCUCAUGACAGAUCUUUUGAUUUUUACAGAUUCAGUACUUGAGUCUGCAGGCUGGGAUGAGCAUCGGAGAUGGAGUGAGGCGAAUGAGUCGGCAGCAAUGGACUGUGGGGUCUAUUUAGUUAUAAGGGCAGAAAGGGGAAACUGGCGUUUCAGGAGCUGCAGAUCAGGCAUUAAUAAGAGCAUGUCAUAAGGCCUACCCUCAAAUUAAAGGCAGGUGCGUGGAGGACUGCAUAGCAGCCACUUUAAAACACGCUCCUCACCGUGGCCAGAUGCCCACAUGUCCGCCCGUGGACGAGGAGGAGGAAGAAUUGGAAGCGGAAGUGGAAGACGAAUUCCAAACUUGAAGAUUUUAUUGUAUUAUGAAUUGUUGAAUAAAUUAUGUUUUAUCCUGAAUAUGUCUUUCUUUUAGCUUGGAGAAAA